rfam:Triticum aestivum genome assembly, contig: Triticum_aestivum_CS42_TGACv1_scaffold_362595_4DS
UGCUGCCAUUUGAUAUGUGACACUUAGUCAUAUUUUGUAUCUGUGCGUCUUGAAAUAUCCCAUAUAAUAAAUGGGAAUGGACCUUGUGACACUAGCUGCUCCUCAUCAACUUCUAGUUACAACAUAUAGUCGUUUACAUGU